UACGGAGGGGGCUAGCGUUGUUCGGAAUUACUGGGCGUAAAGCGCGCGUAGGCGGCUUUGUAAGUCAGAGGUGAAAUCCCGGGGCUCAACUCCGGAACUGCCUUUGAAACUGCAUCGCUUGAAUCCGGGAGAGGUGAGUGGAAUUCCGAGUGUAGAGGUGAAAUUCGUAGAUAUUCGGAAGAACACCAGUGGCGAAGGCGGCUCACUGGACCGGCAUUGACGCUGAGGAGCGAAAGCGUGGGGAGCAAACAGG
rnacentral:rRNA from 1 species